rnacentral:piRNA from 1 species
UGCCUAUGUAGAGACACUAGGGCCUCAU